GAUGAACGCUGGCGGCGUGCCUAAUACAUGCAAGUCGAGCGAACGGACGAGAAGCUUGCUUCUCUGAUGUUAGCGGCGGACGGGUGAGUAACACGUGGAUAACCUACCUAUAAGACUGGGAUAACUUCGGGAAACCGUAGCUAAUACCGGAUAAUAUUUUGAACCGCAUGGUUCAAAAGUGAAAGACGUUCUUGCUGUCACUUAUAGAUGGAUCCGCUCUGCAUUAGCUAGUUGGUAAGGUAACGGCUUACCAAGGCAACGAUGCAUAGCCGACCUGAGAGGGUGAUCGGCCACACUGGAACUGGGACACGGUCCAGACUCCUACGGGAGGCAGCAGUAGGGAAUCUUCCGCAAUGGGCGAAAGCCUGACGGAGCAACGCCGCGUGAGUGAUGAAGGUCUUCGGAUCGUAAAACUCUGUUAUUAGGGAAGAACAUAUGUGUAAGUAACUGUGCACAUCUUGACGGUACCUAAUCAGAAAGCCACGGCUAACUACGUG
rnacentral:rRNA from 1 species